GACGAACGUUGGCGGCGUGCUUAAUACAUGCAAGUCCACUGAAGCAGUGGUAGCAAUAUCGCUGUGGAGGUGGCGCACGGGUUAGUAACACGUAGGUAAUCUGCCUUCAGGUCUGGCAUAACUCCGGGAAACCGGGGCUAAUAGCAGAUGAUGCAGCGGCUCGACAUCGAGACAGUUGUUAAAGCUAUGUCGCCUGAAGAUGAGCCUGCGUCUGAUUAGCAAGUUGGCGGGGUAACGGCCCACCAAGGCAACGAUCAGUAGCUGGUCUGAGAGGAUGAUCAGCCACACUGGAACUGAGACACGGUCCAGACUCCUACGGGAGGCAGCAGUAAGGAAUAUUGCUCAAUGGGAGAAAUCCUGAAGCAGCAACGCCGCGUGAGGGACGAAGGGCUUUGGCUUGUAAACCUCUGUAGUGAGAGAAAAAAAUCCCAAUCUUUGGGACAUGAUGGUAUCUCAAAAGUAAGCCCCGGCUAACUACGUG
rnacentral:rRNA from 1 species